AAACUAAUAAACAGUUUAGAAAUCCAAUUAGAUUAAUUUCCGAUAACCAAGAAUCUUCCAACUCAAGCCCUUACCGAUUAGAUCAUUUAAAUGAAGAAGAAAGAAUCAAUUUAAUCAGUUUGUUGACACAAUAUCAACACAUACAAUAUAAAGAAGGCAACCAACUUAGUUUCAGUAAUCAAGAAAAACACAUUAUAAAUACUACCCACAAUUCAGCCUUACAUACAAAACCAUACAGUUAUCCACAAGCAUAUGAACAGGAAGUUGAACAUCAAAUUCAAGACAUGCUUAAUCAAGGUAUCAUAAGGCCUAGCAAUUCUCCUUAUUGUAGUCCUAUAUGGAUCGUACCGAAAAAGCAAGAUGCUUCAGCGAUAGGCACCCAAUACCAAAUAUGGACGAGAUUUUAGGAAAACUAGGUAGAUGCAAUUAUUUCACUACAAUUGACCUUGCAAAAGGAUUCCACCAACUUGAAAUGCAUCCAGAUUCCAUUCAAAAAACAGCUUUCUCUACUAAACAUGGCCACUAUGAAUAUCUUCGUAUGCCAUUUGGAUUAAAAAAUGCACCCGCAACCUUUCAACGUUGCAUGAACAAUGUUUUACGACCGUUACUAAAUAAACAUUGUCUGGUAUAUCUUGAUGAUAUAAUUGUAUUCUCAACAUCCUUAGAAGAACAUUUGCAAUCACUCCAAUUAGUUUUCGAGAAGCUUUCUGAAGCAAAUCUCAAAUUACAACUUGAUAAAUGCGAGUUUCUAAAACAAGAAACUUCAUUCCUAGGACAUGUCAUAACUAAGGAUGGAAUAAAACCCAAUCCUGAUAAAAUCAAAGCAAUUCACAAAUAUCCAAUUCCCACAAAAACCAAAGAAAUAAAAGGUUUUCUUGGAUUAACCGGUUACUACAGAAAGUUCAUUCCAAAUUUUGCAGACAUAGCCAAACCAAUGACAGCAGUACUUAGAAAAGACUCAAAAAUCGACAUUAAAAAUCCUGAAUACAUUAGAGCUUUUGAAAAAUUGAAACAACUAAUUUCUAAUGACCCAAUUCUAAAAAUUCCAGACUUUAAAAGUAAAUUCGUUUUAACCACUGACGCAAGUAAUGUAGCUCUUGGAGCAGUACUCUCUCAAGACGGACAUCCCAUUAGUUUUAUUAGCAGAACUCUCAAUGAGCACGAAACUAACUACAGUGCCAUAGAAAAAGAGCUUUUAGCCAUUGUAUGGGCAACAAAAACUUUUAGACAUUACCUACUAGGACGACAUUUCGAAAUCAAUAGUGACCAUCAACCAUUAUGUUGGCUGUACAAAAUGAAAGAACCAAAUUCAAAAUUAACCCGAUGGAGAGUUAAAUUAUCUGAAUAUGACUUUGACACAAAACAUAUAAAAGGAAAAGAAAACCACAUAGCUGACGCUCUAUCACGAGUAAAAAUAGAACAGACUUAUUUCGGAGAAGAAACACAACAUAGCGCUGACGAAGACAAUAGUAAUUUAAUAUUCACUACAGAGAAACCAAUAAACACAUUUAAAAGACAAAUUAUAUUUUCUAAAGGCAUUCCAAACGUAAAAAAAGAAAAUUACUUCAAAAAAUUAAUAAUUCACAUUACAUACGAUAACAUGACUAAAGAUAAAGCCGAAAAAUAUUUAAUAGACCAUUUUUGCACAAAAACCAGUGCAAUAUUUAUAGACAGUGAUGCAGAUUUUGAAAUAAUUCAAAACGCACACAAGGAAAUUAUUAACACUAGCCAUACUAAAAUUCUUCGAAGUCUCAUUCAAUUAAAAAACAUUAACUCCUAUGCCGAAUUCAAAGAACUUAUUUUGAAAACCCAUGAAAAACUCCUACACCCCGGAAUUCAAAAAACAAAUAAACUUUUUUGUGAAACCUAUUAUUUCCCUAAUAGCCAAAUAUUAACACAAAACAUAAUAAACGAAUGUCAUAUUUGCAACUUAGCAAAAUCAGAACAUAGAAACACAAAAAUGCUAAUGAAAAUUACACCCAAGCCCGAACACUGUCGUGACAAAUUUGUAAUUGACAUUUAUUCUUCUGAAGGCAAACAUUAUCUUAGCUGCAUGGACAUUUAUUCAAAAUUCGCUACUCUUGAAAAUAUUAAAACAAAAGACUGGAUAGAAUGCAAAAAUGCAUUAAUGCGUAUAUUUAAUCAGUUAGGAAAACCAAUAUUAUUAAAAGCUGACCGAGACGGCGCAUUUUCCAGCUUAGCACUAAAAAAAUGGCUUGAAAGUGAAGGAGUAGAAAUACAAUUAAAUACAACAAAAACAGGAAUAGCAGACAUCGAAAGACUACAUAAAACAAUAAAUGAAAAAAUCAGAAUAAUUAACACUUUAAAUGACGAAGAAAAUAAACUCAGCAAAAUAGAAACAAUUCUUUACAUUUACAAUCACAAAACAAAACAUGACACAACUGGACAAACUCCUGCACACAUUUUCUUAUAUGCCGGACAACCAAAUUUAGAUACCCAAGGAAAAAAAGAAAAAAUAAUAAAUAAAAUGAACGGUGACCGACAAGAAUACGAAGUUGAUACUAGAUAUCGAAAAGGACCAUUACAAAAAGGAAAAUUAGAAAACCCUUUUAAAGCUAAUAAAAACGUUGAACAAACAGACCCAGACCAUUAUCGAAUUACUAACAGAAAUAGAAUUACACGCUACUAUAAAACACAAUUUAAAAAACGAAAGAAAUUUAAUCAAAUCUCAAUAC